AUUGAACGCUGGCGGCAGGCCUAACACAUGCAAGUCGAGCGAGCGGCGGACGGGGGAGUAAUGUAUGGGGACUGCCCGAUAGAGGGGGAUAACUACUGGAAACGGUCGCUAAUACCGCAUACUAUCGGAUAACCCAUAUGGGAUUAGCUAGUGGGUGUGGAAAUGGCUCACCUAGGCGACGAUCCCUAGCUGGUCUGAGAGGAUGAUCAGCCACGCUGGGACUGAGACACUGCCCCGACUCCGACGGAGGCAGCAGUGGGGAAUAUUGCACAAUGGGCGCAAGCCUGAUGCAGCCAUGCCGCGUGUAUGAAGAAGGCCCUAGGGUUGUAAAGUACUUUCAGUCGGGAGGCGUAACCGACAGAAGAAGCACCGGCUAACUCCGUGCCAGCAGCCGCGGUAAUUC
rnacentral:rRNA from 1 species